rnacentral:rRNA from 1 species
CCCUUGAGACUGGGAUAACUUCGGGAAACCGGAGCUAAUACCGGAUAAUAUAAGGAACCUCCUGGUUCCUUAUUGAAAGAUGGUUUCGGCUAUCACUUAAGGAUGGGCCCGCGGCGCAUUAGCUAGUUGGUGAGGUAACGGCUCACCAAGGCGACGAUGCGUAGCCGACCUGAGAGGGUGAUCGGCCACACUGGGACUGAGACACGGCCCAGACUCCUACGGGAGGCAGCA